CAAGGUGACCUUGGGGACAGCAGGCAUUGUUGGCAUGCUAGGAAGCGGAGGCAGGGUGGAUUUGGGGAUAUUUGGCAGGCUAGGAAGUGGAGGCAAAGUGAGCUUAGGCAUUGAAGGUUGAGAAGUUGGCAAACUCGGCAAUGUUGGCUGUGGUAGUGAAGGAAUUGAAGGCAAUGGUGGCAAUGUUGGUUUAGGCAAAUUAGGCGAUUGCAGAAGAUGACGAGCCGCUUGGCCACCCGAAAACGACAAAAGAAUGAAAAGGGCGAAGAUAAAACAGUUGAAUCUUGUCAUCUUGCCAAAAUUUCA
rnacentral:lncRNA from 1 species